CGGGUAUGGCAGUCUUCCGAUUGCGUAACAGGCAGGAGGCUGAGGUAUUUUCUCAUCUAUUGCUUCUCUCUUUCCUGAGUCACUGCACAGAACCCUAGUGAUAAAUUUAGCUCUUGUAGGAGUGUUACAUGCUGCUGGGCUCCAGAGGACCUUGUGCUUCAACACAAGGGCUGACUGAUUUGCAAGAAGAGCCCCUAGGCAGUGCUGUAUCAGACCCGCAGAUACUUCCCUAGUAUCUCUUGUGGGUUUGGACUCAAGAAAUGCCAGGGCCUGUGACUGAGGCUGACCUUUAUUGCUCGUGGUAUACUGGCUGAAUCAGAGGAGAGGACAGAAAAUAAAAUCUGGUUGCAGAGCGCAAAUGAAUUUUACAAAAGCACAUAGCUUAUCUUCUUCGGACUGGGCUAGUGUGAUGGAGUUUUUCCUGAUUCUUUUAGUCAAAAUGAACAACGUCGAGACGGUCUAUUGGCAGUAGCUUCAGCCUUCAGGGUGUGGGGCGAGGAGAAGAACGUGGAGCCCUUCCCAGGUAGACCUGGCUCGUGCUGGAAGCAGCUCUGAUAGUCGGACUUCAGCAGCUCACAGACUACUCUUCCGGAUGGUGCAUGUUGCCGGUCCUCACAUGGCAGAAGAGCAGAAGGCAAAAAGGGAUGAACACCCCCCUCCGAAGCCCUUUUCAGAAGGUCACCUGUCUUUAGCCAGGUUUCAGCCUGAGUUUUGGAGGGACACACACGUUCAAACCACGGCAAAGAGCAAAACUUGUAGAGGCAAAUACCUGCAACAGUGUGCAGUCGGGAGGAACAGCUGUGAAGUCCCUCGUCCAUUUCCACCGACCUGGAUGCAGUGCCCUGUGCCACGCGGUCUACUGUCCUGCUGCUUCCCUCCGUCUCCCAGUGACAUCGUGUGGCCUUGAGAAGCAACAGCAGUGGAUCACGGUGUCUCAAGAUCAUUC
rnacentral:lncRNA from 1 species